AGGGAAAAGGGGGUUCUGGGCAGAUUUGUUGCACAAGAGGUUGAAUUUUUCUGUGGAAUAAUGUUGAUCAGCAGAUGGAGAAGAUGAUGCCAGAAUCAAGUCAUAGAUGCACAGAAACUAAUAAUUAAGGAAGCUUCUGAUGUCAAUGAUUGAAGUCUGGACUCUGUGAGGUGGGUACUGGUGCCACUUACAUUCUACAGAUGAAGAAACUGAAGCUCAUAGAAGUCAAAACAGAAAUGGCAGGAGUGGGGACAGCCUUCUUCUUCCCUUGCAGCUCUGAGUCCUGUGCUUCCUGACUGUACUCCCC
rnacentral:lncRNA from 13 species